GGCUCAGUUGUCUAGUGGUAUGAUUCUCGCUUUGGGUGCGAGAGGCCAUGAGUUCGAUUCCCGUCUGAGCCC
rnacentral:tRNA from 1 species